ACUGGUGACUCUACCCAGAGAGAAAGAACAUGGGUCCUACAUUAGGACUGACAUCAGAGGAAAGAGAAAUGUUUAUAGCCAGAAGGGACCUUGAAGAUGAGGAAGAGAAUAACAAUUUUGAUGACUGCAACAAUGAUGUUGACGCUAUAGGUUUAAAUAGUACUUUAUAAGCUACAGAGAUAUGAGAUGGACAAGACACAAUAGAACUUAACAGGACUAGCAGAUGUGCCUGCCUGAUAGGGCGGAAGCCUGGAAGUCCCACAAUCUGGAGG
rnacentral:lncRNA from 1 species